UACGAAGGGUGCUAGCGUUGCUCGGAAUCACUGGGCGUAAAGGGCGCGUAGGCGGCCAUUCAAGUCAGGGGUGAAAGCCUGUGGCUCAACCACAGAAUUGCCUUUGAUACUGUUUGGCUAGAGACCGGAAGAGGUAAGUGGAACUGCGAGUGUAGAGGUGAAAUUCGUAGAUAUUCGCAAGAACACCAGUGGCGAAGGCGGCUUACUGGUCCGGUUCUGACGCUGAGGCGCGAAAGCGUGGGGAGCAAACAGG
rnacentral:rRNA from 1 species